AGCUUUGCGCAGUGGCAGUACCAUAGCCGAUGAGGUUUAUCCGAGGCGUGGUUAUUUCCCAGACCCGAUGUCAAGCGCUUGCCUUGGGAAAUAUGUGAGCUGGCAGUCCAG
rnacentral:snRNA from 1 species